rnacentral:rRNA from 1 species
AGAGUUUGAUCCUGGCUCAGGAUGAACGCUGGCGGCGUGCUUAACACAUGCAAGUCGAACGAUCCUUCGGGAUAGUGGCGGACGGGUGAGUAACGCGUGGGAAUCUGCCCUCAGGAGGGGGAUAACGGCUGGAAACGGCCGCUAAUACCCCAUAUGCCGAGAGGUGAAAUGAAUUUCGCCUGAGGAUGAGCCCGCGUCUGAUUAGCUAGUUGGUGGGGUAAAGGCCUACCAAGGCAACGAUCAGUAGCUGGUCUGAGAGGAUGAUCAGCCACACUGGGACUGAGACACGGCCCACUCCUACGGGAGGCAGCAGUGGGGAAUUUUCCGCAAUGGGCGAAAGCCUGACGGAGCAACGCCGCGUGAGGGAUGAAGGCCUCUGGGCUGUAAACCUCUUUUCUCAAGGAAGAAGACCUGACGGUACUUGAGGAAUAAGCCACGGCUAAUUCCGUGCCAGCAGCCGCGGUAAUACGGGAGUGGCAAGCGUUAUCCGGAAUUAUUGGGCGUAAAGCGUCCGCAGGCGGCCUUGUAAGUCUGUUGUUAAAGCGUGGAGCUCAACUCCAUUUAAGCAAUGGAAACUACAAGGCUGGAGUGUGGUAGGGGCAGAGGGAAUUCCCGGUGUAGCGGUGAAAUGCGUAGAUAUCGGGAAGAACACCAGUGGCGAAGGCGCUCUGCUGGGCCAUAACUGACGCUCAUGGACGAAAGCCAGGGGAGCGAAAGGGAUUAGAUACCCCUGUAGUCCUGGCCGUAAACGAUGAACACUAGGUGUCGGGGGAAUCGACCCCCUCGGUGUCGUAGCCAACGCGUUAAGUGUUCCGCCUGGGGAGUACGCACGCAAGUGUGAAACUCAAAGGAAUUGACGGGGGCCCGCACAAGCGGUGGAGUAUGUGGUUUAAUUCGAUGCAACGCGAAGAACCUUACCAGGGUUUGACAUCCUGCGAACCCCUGAGAAAUCGGGGGGUGCCUUCGGGAGCGCAGAGACAGGUGGUGCAUGGCUGUCGUCAGCUCGUGUCGUGAGAUGUUGGGUUAAGUCCCGCAACGAGCGCAACCCACGUCUUUAGUUGCCAGCAUUCAGUUGGGCACUCUAGAGAGACCGCCGGUGAUAAACCGGAGGAAGGUGUGGAUGACGUCAAGUCAUCAUGCCCCUUACAUCCUGGGCUACACACGUACUACAAUGCUACGGACAAAGGGCAGCAAGCUCGCGAGAGUUAGCAAAUCCCAUAAACCGUGGCUCAGUUCAGAUCGUAGGCUGCAACUCGCCUACGUGAAGGAGGAAUCGCUAGUAAUCGCAGGUCAGCAUACUGCGGUGAAUACGUUCCCGGGCCUU